UACGGAGGGUGCAAGCGUUAUCCGGAUUCACUGGGUUUAAAGGGUGCGUAGGUGGGCAGGUAGGUCAGUGGUGAAAUCUCUGGGCUUAACCCAGAAACUGCCGUUGAUACUAUCUGUCUUGAAUAUAGUGGAGGUGAGCGGAAUAUGUCAUGUAGCGGUGAAAUGCUUAGAUAUGACAUAGAACACCCAUUGCGAAGGCAGCUCGCUACACUAUUAUUGACACUGAGGCACGAAAGCGUGGGGAUCAAACAGG
rnacentral:rRNA from 1 species